rnacentral:rRNA from 1 species
AUUGAACGCUGGCGGCAGGCUUAACACAUGCAAGUCGAGCGGAGAUGAGGUGCUUGCACCUUAUCUUAGCGGCGGACGGGUGAGUAAUGCUUAGGAAUCUGCCUAUUAGUGGGGGACAACAUUCCGAAAGGAAUGCUAAUACCGCAUACGUCCUACGGGAGAAAGCAGGGGAUCUUCGGACCUUGCGCUAAUAGAUGAGCCUAAGUCGGAUUAGCUAGUUGGUGGGGUAAAGGCCUACCAAGGCGACGAUCUGUAGCGGGUCUGAGAGGAUGAUCCGCCACACUGGGACUGAGACACGGCCCAGACGCCUACGGGAGGCAGCAGUGGGGAAUAUUGGACAAUGGGGGGAACCCUGAUCCAGCCAUGCCGCGUGUGUGAAGAAGGCCUUAUGGUUGUAAAGCACUUUAAGCGAGGAGGAGGCUACUGAGACUAAUACUCUUGGAUAGUGGACGUUACUCGCAGAAUAAGCACUGGCUAACUCUGUGCCAGCCGCCGCCGUAAAAC